rnacentral:rRNA from 1 species
CACUAUCGUUAACUGAAUACAUAGGUUAACGAGGCGAACCGGGGGAACUGAAACAUCUAAGUACCCCGAGGAAAAGAAAUCAACCGAGAUUCCCCCAGUAGCGGCGAGCGAACGGGGAGCAGCCCAGAGUCUGAAUCAGCUUGUGUGUUAGUGGAACGGUCUGGAAAGUCCGACGGUACAGGGUGAUAGUCCCGUACACCAAAAUGCACAGGUUGUGAACUCGAAGAGUAGGGCGGGACACGUGGUAUCCUGUCUGAAUAUGGGGGGACCAUCCUCCAAGGCUAAAUACUCCUGACUGACCGAUAGUGAACCAGUACCGUGAGGGAAAGGCGAAAAGAACCCCGGCGAGGGGAGUGAAAAAGAACCUGAAACCGUGUACGUACAAGCAGUGGGAGCACCUUCGGGUGUGACUGCGUACCUUUUGUAUAAUGGGUCAGCGACUUAUAUUCUGUAGCAAGGUUAACCGUAUAGGGGAGCCGCAGGGAAACCGAGUCUUAACUGGGCGUUAAGUUGCAGGGUAUAGACCCGAAACCCGGUGAUCUAGCCAUGGGCAGGUUGAAGGUUGGGUAACACUAACUGGAGGACCGAACCGACUAAUGUUGAAAAAUUAGCGGAUGACUUGUGGCUGGGGGUGAAAGGCCAAUCAAACCGGGAGAUAGCUGGUUCUCCCCGAAAGCUAUUUAGGUAGCGCCUCGUGAACUCAUCUUCGGGGGUAGAGCACUGUUUCGGCUAGGGGGUCAUCCCGACUUACCAACCCGAUGCAAACUACGAAUACCGAAGAAUGUUAUCACGGGAGACACACGGCGGGUGCUAACGUCCGUCGUGAAGAGGGAAACAACCCAGACCGCCAGCUAAGGUCCCAAAGUCAUGGUUAAGUGGGAAACGAUGUGGGAAGGCACAGACAGCCAGGAUGUUGGCUUAGAAGCAGCCAUCAUUUAAAGAAAGCGUAAUAGCUCACUGGUCGAGUCGGCCUGCGCGGAAGAUGUAACGGGGCUAAACCAUGCACCGAAGCUGCGGCAGCGACACUAUGUGUUGUUGGGUAGGGGAGCGUUCUGUAAGCCUGCGAAGGUGUGCUGUGAGGCAUGCUGGAGGUAUCAGAAGUGCGAAUGCUGACAUAAGUAACGAUAAAGCGGGUGAAAAGCCCGCUCGCCGGAAGACCAAGGGUUCCUGUCCAACGUUAAUCGGGGCAGGGUGAGUCGACCCCUAAGGCGAGGCCGAAAGGCGUAGUCGAUGGGAAACAGGUUAAUAUUCCUGUACUUGGUGUUACUGCGAAGGGGGGACGGAGAAGGCUAUGUUAGCCGGGCGACGGUUGUCCCGGUUUAAGCAUGUAGGCUGGUUNUCCAGGCAAAUCCGGAUAAUCAAGGCUGAGGUGUGAUGACGAGGCACUACGGUGCUGAAGUAACAAAUGCCCUGCUUCCAGGAAAAGCCUCUAAGCAUCAGGUAACAUCAAAUCGUACCCCAAACCGACACAGGUGGUCAGGUAGAGAAUACCAAGGCGCUUGAGAGAACUCGGGUGAAGGAACUAGGCAAAAUGGUGCCGUAACUUCGGGAGAAGGCACGCUGGUGUGUAGGUGAAGUCCCUGCGGAUGGAGCUGAGACCAGUCGAAGAUACCAGCUGGCUGCAACUGUUUAUUAAAAACACAGCACUGUGCAAACACGAAAGUGGACGUAUACGGUGUGACGCCUGCCCGGUGCCGGAAGGUUAAUUGAUGGGGUUAUCCGUAAGGAGAAGCUCUUGAUCGAAGCCCCGGUAAACGGCGGCCGUAACUAUAACGGUCCUAAGGUAGCGAAAUUCCUUGUCGGGUAAGUUCCGACCUGCACGAAUGGCGUAAUGAUGGCCAGGCUGUCUCCACCCGAGACUCAGUGAAAUUGAACUCGCUGUGAAGAUGCAGUGUACCCGCGGCAAGACGGAAAGACCCCGUGAACCUUUACUAUAGCUUGACACUGAACAUUGAGCCUUGAUGUGUAGGAUAGGUGGGAGGCUUUGAAGCGUGGACGCCAGUCUGCGUGGAGCCAACCUUGAAAUACCACCCUUUAAUGUUUGAUGUUCUAACGUUGGCCCCUNCGGGGUUGCGGACAGUGUCUGGUGGGUAGUUUGACUGGGGCGGUCUCCUCCCAAAGCGUAACGGAGGAGCACGAAGGUUAGCUAAUCCUGGUCGGACAUCAGGAGGUUAGUGCAAUGGCAUAAGCUAGCUUGACUGCGAGCGUGACGGCGCGAGCAGGUGCGAAAGCAGGUCAUAGUGAUCCGGUGGUUCUGAAUGGAAGGGCCAUCGCUCAACGGAUAAAAGGUACUCCGGGGAUAACAGGCUGAUACCGCCCAAGAGUUCAUAUCGACGGCGGUGUUUGGCACCUCGAUGUCGGCUCAUCACAUCCUGGGGCUGAAGUAGGUCCCAAGGGUAUGGCUGUUCGCCAUUUAAAGUGGUACGCGAGCUGGGUUUAGAACGUCGUGAGACAGUUCGGUCCCUAUCUGCCGUGGGCGCUGGAGAAUUGAGGGGGGCUGCUCCUAGUACGAGAGGACCGGAGUGGACGCAUCACUGGUGUUCGGGUUGUCAUGCCAAUGGCACUGCCCGGUAGCUAAAUGCGGAAGAGAUAAGUGCUGAAAGCAUCUAAGCACGAAACUUGCCCCGAGAUGAGUUCUCCCUGAGACUUUAAGUCUCCUGAAGGAACGUU